rnacentral:tRNA from 1 species
GGGCAUGUUGCUUAGUGGUAAAGCAUUUGCCUACCAUGCAUGAGGCCCUGGGUUCGAUCCUCAGCAUUGCUA